rnacentral:rRNA from 1 species
ACGCUCGACACCUACGGGAGGCAGCAGUGGGGAAUAUUGCACAAUGGGGGAAACCCUGAUGCAGCGACGCCGCGUGAGCGAAGAAGUAUUUCGGUAUGUAAAGCUCUAUCAGCAGGGAAGAAGAAAGACGGUACCUGACUAAGAAGCCCCGGCUAACUACGUGCCGGCAGCCGCGGUAAUCUGAGCGGGCUGGCAAGGC